rnacentral:lncRNA from 1 species
AUGGAGUGCUAAAAAUUGCAUUUUUAACACGGUUUUAGGAAAAAGCCGUUAAAGUGCUAUACAAUCAUCCAAUAAUAAAAAUAAAAAUAGGGAAAUAACUAUCAACAGGAUUUAUAACAUCAAAACGAUUAAAACAAGGUUGUUGCCUGUCCCCCACUCUAUUUAAAAUAUACCUCGAAAGUGCUUUAAACAGAUGGAAACAAAAUUGUAGAACAGUAGGGGUACCACUCACCAACACUAUGAUAUAUACGCUUAAAUUUUGCAGACGAUCAAGUAAUAAUGGCUCAAGGAGAAUAUGACAAUUUAAACUAUAUGGCUUGAAAAUUCAUUGAAGAGAAUAUAUGGGUUUAGACUAGAAGAAAAUAAAAUGAAAACCGAGUACUUGUGCAUUGUAUUUGAACAAUAAGAUAGUGUAGACUGCUAUGACUACAAAUAUCUAGGUAUUAGUAUUUCGCACGAUGGAACAUUAGACAAAGUCAUAACAGAAAAAUAGGUCAGGUAGAAAAAACAUCACAAUUAGGGGUAGCCAACUUUCUUUAGAUUAGAUUUCUUGUCAAGAAAACAAGAAAUCUUAAAAUAUCUUGACUAUCUAAUAAUAAAAACUAGAUUUUAUUUUAAAUAACAACUUUAGCACCUUUUCGAAAUCGGAAUUGAUAAACCAUGAAUUAAGGCAGAUAACACUUCUCAUGGAGUCAACGCCUAACUGAUUUCUUGGUUUUGUUAUUGUUAAAGUUGCUUUUGAAAAUAGCCUUUCAGCAGGUACAGAUGUUGCUGGCGUUCCGAGAAAAUCCUUGGCCAUUUUCGACAAUGGCGGGUAGAUUGUGCAAUAUUUUUUCGCUUCGAGAAUUGAAGAAAGAGUUUUAAACCUUCUCAGAUACUAACAAAAUUUACUGAUCAGAACUAUUCUUUAUCUAACAUUUUCCAAUUAUUUAGAUUUUAAGCCCCAUGUUAGCAUCUCGAAAGUUAAAUGCCAUCUUGUAGGCACAUCUAGGUCUGGCAUAGUCAUCAUACAAUUAUUUAUGGCCUCGCAAGCACUGUUAAGUUUAAGUUGCAUUUGCCCUGAAUUUUUGAUUUUUCUUACAAAGUAUUUAAUACUUACAGAGGAGUUAAAAUCUAAAGUAGUAGCAUUUAUAGCAUUUUCUACUUCAAUCGCAUCCUCCAAAUAAUCAAAAUCCUUUUCGAUGUCUAAACUGUUUCGACAGUUCCUGGACAACUAAGCUUCGAAUAUGUGCGAAACAUACAAAAUGCUUAUUGUAAGCAUGCAACUACACAUCAAUUUUGGGUACGUCAGGAAAUAAAUGCAGAUCAGGGACUCCCCCCAGUGGUAGUGGAGGCCGUGUUAGCACGCAACGCAAUAAAAAGGUCGCCGGGGAAUCACCAGACCGGGUAAUCAAGAAAUUUCAAGAUCUUGAAAUUUCUUGAAUCAAGACAAGAUAUGAGAUGUCAAGAAAACGUCAUGACAAGAUAUUUUAAAUUUCUUGAUUUUUUCUCAAGGCAAGAAGUUGUUUUCAAGACAAGAAUUCUUGUCUUGUCGACCCCUACUCAUAUUGUUAAACAACAUUUGAUCGGACCAAUCCGUCAGCUUUUCGAGACCAAACCAUCCAAGAAAAUAAAAAGAGGAUAAUAUGAGACAAUAGUGAAAAGUAUCACUCUAUCACCUCAGCUGUAAGGUAUGGCCACUGAAAGAAAGAACACUGGUAAAGCUAAGAGCAACGGAAAUUGAUUUUUUGAGAAGAGCAGCAGGGAGAUAUAGAAGAGAAAUUAUUACCAACAAACGCAUUAGAGAAAUAAUAGGAAUCAAACGAAUAAUCACGGAUGAGUUAUCAACAAAACAUUUAUCUGGUUCGGACAUAUGGUGGUACGGGGGUUGCAACCCCCGAUGAUGGGGUUGAUUAAGUUGAAACACUAAUUACCGAAAUACAUUUAUUUAAGUCACCAUGUACGACAGUAAAUAGUUGGUGUAAGGGAUGGAAACGUCUAUACUCUAACCACGUCGGUUUCUGAAUAAUGAAUAAACUCUUUCCUUACUUUCUACGUAUCUAUAUAUAAAUCCCAAUUGUUUGUUGUGAUUGACCAUAUUUGAAUGUGACCGUGCAUCACUAAUAGCAGUAUAAUUGCUGACUUCGGUGUUUUCAAAAUACGUGGCCUAGAUUACAAAACCAAUGUCACCCAUUUACGAAAUCCAAACCGUGCAUGUAAAUAAUAUUUGCUUAAGACUUUUAAAAAUUGAAUCGAUAUGGAUUAACUCUUAUUUUUUGGAUGCUAAUAUAAAUCCUUUACAGACGUACUAAAAUGGAAUAUGAAAAGAAAUACUAAAAUGGUAACCAGAAGGAAAGAGAAAACGAGGCAGACCAAGAAAAAGUUGGAGCGAAGGAAUAAACAAAGAACUGAGAGAAAUAGACAUACAAGAGGGACUACGGAACAACCGGACGAAGUUGUGAUUGGAAGUCGGAAACGGCGGAGAACGUUAUAAAACGACAUGUAGUAGUAGUAGUAGUAGUAGUAGUAGUAGAAUUGUUAUUAAGUAUUAUUGGAUCUAAGUAAAAGCAACCACCGGCACAAGUCCAAAAGUGGGGGACGAUAAAAUGGAGACUGCUAGUGUUGAUGAUUUGCAUCUAAGUACGUCGCAAAAUGCCAUUUAUCAAGUAAUUAAACUUCUCCUCUCGUCGCUUGCAACAAUCUACGUUCCAGUGAUGUUAGCUCUAAAGGCAAUUCUAACAGCCUUACAUAUUGGAAAAGGGACUGUUACGUUACCGUUUAGACUUAUUUACAAUUUAUUUAUUAGUACUGUACUAAACCUUGUAUUUAAAUUAUUUUCUUAAAGAAAUAUAAAUGUUCUCGAAUUACUA